AAAAGUUAAUCCAAGAACUGCCGAAAAACAUGCAACUCUGCUUCGUUUUCUAUUCAGACGCCUUCCGAAGACACAUUACAUCAAAAAUGUUGGCGGAAAAAGGCCAACGCAAGAAGACGAAGAUGUGGUAGAUAGAGUAAGAUAGAGUAAGUUUUUGGAGCAAGGCUCCCGACAAAGUCAGUCACAAUAAA
ensembl:ncRNA C04C11.22 ncRNA